rnacentral:lncRNA from 1 species
UCAGUGCUCAUCUGAUUGCCACACUGACUGACAGUUUCACUGAAAUAACUUAUAUCUUUCAUAGACUUUGUGACUGACAGACCAAAUGUUAACCCUGAUAGAAACUGAAUGAUUAUCCAUUAGAUUUAUACUACAAGCAGUCCCUCCUAUUUGGUGAAGUCUAUUGCAUGUUAGAAAAAAAAAAUCAGUGUACAAAUUUGGAGUAGUGUCAUGAGAGUCAGUACCAUAUUUAUUUAUUUUAUUCAUUCAGUUACUUAAAGCUACAUGACUAGAGAUACUGCCUUGCCCAGGUAUUGUGAAUAUGUUGGAAUUAUUGAGAGGUAGAACUCACUAGUAAUUGAAUAUGUUGAAAUUCUUCUGUGUUGAUGUCUUUCAGGUGUGAUUGAAGAGGCCUCAAUUUUGCCUGGAUUGUUUUUGACGUGAACAUGCAGUGGAAGAUGUGACCUUAUUUUGUUAACUUGAGCAACAGGUUACUUCAGGUUGCGAGAGGGAUCAAAGAAGAAAAAAGCCCAAAAAAGAAUCAGAGUUUAAAGGAAGGAGAAAUGUAAAGAAUAUCUCACUCUCUCUUGCAAGACUUGUACAUGUAAUCUAAUAGCUUUAACGUUUUUCUAUUGAUCUCGUACACUUGUACAGUUUAAACUGGUUUCUUUAUAUGGCUCAUUUAAAGUUCUCACUACCUUACUUUUUAGCUGUCACGAGAAAUGAACAUCUCAGGUAAGGGAGUAGUCAGCAAAAUAGCAAGCCUGAGAAUAGCUGAAUAUUUCUUGUAAUACGCAUGCGUAUUGACACACAUUUGCUUACAAAAAAAUACAUGCGUUUUUUUAAAAGAAUGUUUGUACCACAAAGUAGACAACUUAUUGUAAAGACUUAAACAUUUUUUUUGAAAUGUGGACGAAAUUGUGGAGGCUGGUCGGUUGAAACUGUCUAAAGUUAUUGUAAUAUUACUGUAUUAUAAGAUUGUAAGAUUACUGUUAUAUACAUGUAUUUUAAAAGAUUGUAUUGUAAUACUGUACUAUAAUAUUAGUUGGCUAACAUUGACGGGUGUGGGGAGGGAGCCAGGUUUGGUUAAUUUUCCAGGGUUGAUUGAGAUCUGUUGGGGGACGGUGGACGGAUCAAACCCCAAUUUUUUUUUUUUUUAUUCUCUCAAUUGGGGGUCGAUCCAAUUUAGCUUCUUUCGAAGAUUGAUAUUAGGCUCAGGUCUUUUGCUGAUCGGGUUUCCGGCUUGGUAUCCAGCUUUGGGUGGUCGAAGAAGGAAACAAGGAAAUAAAAAUUAAGACCAAGAAUUUGAGACAUUAAAAACGUUACCCGCCUUCAUACUUCAUCAGACUUUCGGAAAACAAACGGAAACAAAUUUCGACCCCCAAUUUUUCGUUCCUUGCUUGGUUGACAUUCUUCCUUACUCCCUUACGUGAGAUAGCCAUUUCUCGUGACAUUUAAAAGGUGUGAUAAAGAGAGCUUUAAAGGAGCCAUACAAACAUUCCCGCCAAAAGCACUUGACGUUAUGAAAGUGCACCACAAGGACAAAGUUGACGAUAGUUUCCAACCUCUCAUUUAACACCUCUUUUCACGGUUGAUAUCUUUCUUUGGCUUCUUUCGUGAAGGUAGAAAUACCUGCGAGGUGAAGAGAAAUAAACGAAACUCUCAAUUUC